UACGAAGGGGGCUAGCGUUGCUCGGAAUUACUGGGCGUAAAGAGCGCGUAGGCGGCUUUUUACGUCAGGUGUGAAAUCCUGGAGCCCAACUCCAGAACUGCCUUUGAUACUGGGAGGCUCGAGUCCGGGAGAGGUGAGUGGAACUGCGAGUGUAGAGGUGAAAUUCGUAGAUAUUCGCAAGAACACCAGUGGCGAAGGCGGCUCACUGGCCCGGUACUGACGCUGAGGUGCGAAAGCGUGGGGAGCAAACAGG
rnacentral:rRNA from 1 species